AGUGUUAAAGAAGAAAGAAGGAAAGAAAGAAGGAGGAAAAAAAUAAAUGAAUCGAUCGGGCUCAACAAUCAUGUGGACGUGAACGUCGCGUUCGAGUCAAGCACGCGCGCAAGACUUUGUUUUUACAUGUAUUAUUUCGUACGCACGAAAGGUUCUUCACUUGGGAACUUUCUCAAGCUGACAGCUUGACACAGCCCUGCUACAGCUAUUGUAAAGAGGUUCCAGUACUUCUCAGUUAUAGAUCAGUGAAUGAACACAUACAGGUGAUCCAGACACACAGAGCAUCUAUCCAGCGCUCUCGCACUCAGAGCAGUCGCGCUCCUCUCUCCGAGCAGACAGGCUUCUGGGCUUGUUCAGCUGCCACUGGCCCUGAUUCUGAACAAGCCUCCUCCUACUCGAGCAGAGCGAAAGGAGAGGCCUGCCUUUGGAAAGCAGCUUAAUGCCUUAUAAAUCAAUGAUGACACAGAUGGACCAGCGAUAAUCUAUUUAGAAUGCCUCACAGCAAAUAUUGUCGUACAGAUGAUUAGAGAUUGAGCUAUUUUAACUCGGCCUCCUCCACCCCUCUCAGCAAAUCUUCUGCAUCUCUGGAUGCUGUAAAUUGGAGAGUUUUGCCUUCUCUCUUUCUCUCCAUCUCUCUCGCCCUCCCCCUAUCCCUCCUUCCUUUC
rnacentral:lncRNA from 1 species